UACGUAGGGUGCGAGCGUUAAUCGGAAUUACUGGGCGUAAAGCGUGCGCAGGCGGUUUGUUAAGACAGAUGUGAAAUCCCCGGGCUUAACCUGGGAACUGCAUUUGUGACUGGCAAGCUAGAGUAUGGCAGAGGGGGGUAGAAUUCCACGUGUAGCAGUGAAAUGCGUAGAGAUGUGGAGGAAUACCGAUGGCGAAGGCAGCCCCCUGGGCCAAUACUGACGCUGAGGCACGAAGGCGUGGGGAGCAAACAGG
rnacentral:rRNA from 1 species